rnacentral:lncRNA from 1 species
AUACACAGAGAACCACGUGGAGGAAAAGCACGCGAGUUUGGAGCGGGUGGAGCAGGAACAGAGGUGGACUGGAAUGUCACACGACGGGGCAGCUGGAAGGGCACCACUGAGUUCAGUACUUCAAAAUUGCCGUGCUCUACCUCUCCCCAGUGCACAAAAACACUCUCCACACCAAGCUGCUGCUGCUGGGGGAUGGAGGGAUGGCGUCAGCGAUUCAAGACUGUUUUUCCUACCUGUUCAGCACUUCUUUCAGCGAUAUGAAGUUAAAUCCAGUCUUUCCCUGUCUCCAGGCAUCAUCGCCAUCAACAUACAGCCAUACUCCAGGAUUGCCCAUCUUCAACAUAAACGGACUCUCCUGGACUCCACUUCCCACAUCAGUCACAGCCACACUUCCUGAGAAAGAAGUCUACACUCUUCAUUCACUUUCAUUCACCCACUUCCAACCUGGCUCCUGUUACCACUGGACCGUCAAAAGUGACUCUUGUCAAAGUCACUAUUCUGGCUACCUAUUGCUGUGUAAUAACCUCCUCAAAAUUUAGUAUCUUUAAAAAACAA